rnacentral:rRNA from 1 species
UACGUAGGUGGCAAGCGUUGUCCGGAUUUACUGGGCGUAAAGAGCGCGCAGGCGGUCGUUCAAGUCGCGUGUGAAAGCCCCCGGCUCAACUGGGGAGGGUCACGCGAUACUGAUCGACUCGAAGGCAGGAGAGGGUAGUGGAAUUCCCGGUGUAGUGGUGAAAUGCGUAGAUAUCGGGAGGAACACCAGUGGCGAAGGCGACUACCUGGCCUGUACCUGACGCUGAGGCGCGACAGCGUGGGGAGCAAACAGG